GUCUACGGCCAUACCACCCUGAACGCACCCGAUCUCGUCUGAUCUCGGAAGCUAAGCAGGGUCGGGCCUGGUUAGUACUUGGAUGGGAGAACCUCUAGGGAAUCUAAAUUUCAUUUAAACAUUUUGGCAACGUAGGCU
rnacentral:rRNA from 1 species